GCUCUGUAGUCUGGGAAUGGCACAAGGUUGGUGAUACUCAAAGGCGCACGUGACUUGCAGAAAAAAAGCAUCCUCUGGAGGAAACUGAGGCAUAACUUUCCAAGGUCCAAUAGUUCAUGUGCAAUUUUUCUCUUACAGAUCCUGGGCACUGUUUCCUAGUGGAAGUGACAGGGCAGUGCUGUUAUCUAUCCAUAAUAGGAAGAAAAGCUCUACAGUUAGGAGAUUGUUUAACAGAUGGAGCAGUUUCUGUUAGACCCUAAGUUCUGCUACAAUG
ensembl:snoRNA